UUGGAGGGCAAGUCUGGUGCCAGCAGCCGCGGUAAUUCCAGCUCCAAUAGCGUAUAUUAAAGUUGUUGCAGUUAAAAAGCUCGUAGUUGAAUUUCGGGGUCAGUAGGCUGGUCGUGCCUCAGGUACGUACUGGUCUUACUGAUUCCUCCUUUCUGACGAACCGUAAUGCCAUUAAUUUGGUGUUGCGGGGAAUCUGGACUGUUACUUUGAAAAAAUUAGAGUGUUUAAAGCAGGCUAACGCUUGAAUACAUUAGCAUGGAAUAAUGAAAUAGGACGAUCGAUCCUAUUUUGUUGGUUUCUAGGAUUGACGUAAUGAUUAAUAGGGAUAGUUGGGGGCAUUAGUAUUCAAUUGUCAGAGGUGAAAUUCUUGGAUUUAUUGAAGACUAACUACUGCGAAAGCAUUUGCCAAGGAUGUUUUCAUUAAUCAAGAACGAAAGUUAGGGGAUCGAAGACGAUCAGAUACCGUCGUAGUCUUAACCAUAAACUAUGCCGACUAGGGAUCGGAUGAUGUUAAUUUUUAAUGACUCAUUCGGCGCCUUACGGGAAA
rnacentral:rRNA from 1 species